UAAUACUUGAAGAUCUUAUCCUAUUUAGCAAGGGCAGAUUGAAACUUCAUCACUACGCCCCUGCUGCUGUAAUCUGAUCAUCCCUGCAGGGAAAGCAAGCCAUUCAAAAGGGCAAGAAAAGUACCAUAAAUGGGCUACCUUACAAAGUGAAAGAGCGCCAUAAAUUAGUGACCCAAAAAUGGAAACAAGAACAGCACAGAUAUAGGUCACCACCACCUUGUAGCAAUAAAAUGUACCAUUAAUGUCUUAUGAUACACACAGCUUAGAAGCCUGUAAAAAACAAGUAACUGGCCUACAUCAUCAUCAUCACACACACACACACGCAAACUUUCACCUAAAAACUCACCAACCCCAGCUUUAUAACGGCACCAUUUUCAUUGCUUUCUCACACUCCCCAAACUCCACACCCCUCUAUUCACAAGGUUACAAAAUUCUCUGGGCCCUCCCUUCCCCUCUUCACACGAAACCUAAGGUGCUCGUUUCUGUCCCUUUCUGUAAUUCAGGAACUUCUCUUUGUCCGAUCUGUGUCUGCAUGUUUCUGUUGAGAUUGAUUGUUUAUUGGAAGCUACCUAAUAAAUUGGUUAACUCAUCCUCUUUAUAUUCAGCCCCCACCACUGCUCUCAACACAGUUCAUAAAAGUUCUCUGGGCAACCUCCUCACCAGUCUUCUUCACAUCAAGUGGCGGCAUAAAACUGAUCAGCUAAGAGUAUGGGAAGCAAAGCACCAAGGUGGGCUGAUCAAUGGGGCACAAGGGAGGAUUACGAUGGCAAGCUGAGUAGCCAGGUAGGGCACGGCAGCAGCAGCAAGAUGGAUGGUGUCAAGUCUGCAGCUUCUGCGGGACUCUUCAAGGCCAAGGCUGCUGCAGUUGUCGGUGCCCAAAAGGUUAAGACUGGAACCUCCCUCGGGUUUAGAUGGGUCAAGAAUCAUUAUCAGAAAAGGGUCUCCAAAUGAUCAUCACGAUGAUCAUAUUCAUAUUUUCGAUCUUCUUAAUUUUAUGAUCAGACCAGUCCAAAACAAUCUCAAUAUAUAUAUAUAGUUGUUUUAAUUA